UUUGACUGGUUCAUGCUCAUGGGCAUAUCGCUUCUUAAAGGGCUGAAGAGAAUCUUUACGUGAACUGACAAUCAACCCCUGCAAUGCAUAAAUCAACUCUCAAUGGUCCAAUUACCAAAGGAUGCAAGUUAACACUGCGAUAUCAUUAUUAUAUUAACCUUUGAAUCAAGUAGCCAGAUCUUUUUGCGAGCAUCUUCCACUGGAACUUUGGACUGAAAAAAAAUCAUAGCUAACGAUUAAUUGAGCCAUCAUAGACAAAUUACCAAAAAUCAAAUUAGGUGAAGCUAGCAAUCGAGUUACCUGAUUUGAUAUCUCGAGAGCCACUAGUUCAGCAAUGCCUGUACCAGCCUGCAAGAACAGGUAAUCUAUUUGGAACAAUCUAUAGGUUUUACAUGAUAGAACAAAUUUUUGCUCGUCGGUGAUUAAGAGUCAAAUCACUAAUUUACUGGUGGCAUGCUUAGAUUAUUCACUAUUCAAGC
rnacentral:sRNA from 1 species